GUGUCAGCAGCCGCGGUAAGACGAACCGUGCGAACGUUAUUCGGAUUCACUGGGCUUAAAGCGCGUGUAGGCGGACAGGCACGUCCGAGGCUGAAAGCCCCCGGCUCAACCGGGGAACUGGCCCGGAUACGGCCCGUCUGGAGGGGCAUAGGGGGAGCUGGAACUUCCGGUGGAGCGGUGAAAUGCGUUGAGAUCGGAAGGAACGCCCGUGGCGAAAGCGAGCUCCUGGAUGCCUUCUGACGCUGAGACGCGAAAGCCAGGGGAGCGAACGGGAUUAGAUACCCCAGUAGUCC
rnacentral:rRNA from 1 species